GCGCCUGACAGCACACACUCUGUUCUUUACACGUUGGAAAAUAGGCAACUCCAGCUUUUAACUUAUACGCGCAGAGGGGAUGGGAAGUAAGGUAUCAUGUUGCUGAUUAUGCUGAAAAAUUCAAUAAAAACUGCCGAAACAACCGAAAUAUUUCAAUAUUUACAAGUAUAAGCUAUCAGUCUGUUUACACGGGCACUAUUUUUUAUUUUUCAGCAUAAUCAGCAAUAUGAUACUUACUUGGCAUCACCCCCUGCACGCAUAAACUAAUAGCUGGAAUUGCCGAUUUCCAGGCUGGGCAAUUUCAAAAGACAAACUUGAUUUCCAGCGAAUUCUCUCAC